rnacentral:rRNA from 1 species
GUAGUAGCAAAUACUCUAGCGAGGCCCUGGAGGGCUGAGGCGGAGAAGGGUUUCGUGUGAACAGCCGUUGCACACGAGUCAGUCGAUCCUAAGCCCUAGGGGAAACCCGAUGUAUGGGGUCGCCUGCGGCCCCAGAGGGCGAAAGGGAAUCCGGUCCCUAUUCCGGAACCCGGUCGCGGAACCGUCCUACGUCGGGCCCCCCGCUCCUUCGGGGCGGGAAGCUCGUCGGGGUAACCCAAACUGACCCGGAGAAGCCGUCGGGAGGCGAGGGAAGAGUUUUCUUUUCUGUUUGAGCGUUCGGGUUCCCUGGAAUUGCCUAGCGCAGAGAGAGGGAAUGGAGCGCGUAGAGCAUCGCAGUUGCGGCGAUGUCCUCGCACGCCCUUCGGACCUUGAAAAUCCGGGGACGGGCCACGUGGAGGUGUCGCGCCGGUUCGUACCCAUAUCCGCAGCAGGUCUCCAAGGUGAAGAGCCUCUAGUCGAUAGACUAAUGUAGGUAAGGGAAGUCGGCAAAUUGGAUCCGUAACUUCGGAAUAAGGAU